AAGCCAGCCAGUGAAUCUGCUUAAUCUGAAUAUGUUUCUGCAGAAACUUUUUAAAAACUAGCAAUAGUAAAGCGGUAUUAUGAGCCUUAAGGGCAUUGACGUUGUUAAGGUCUCUGAAAAUGGCUGUAACA
rnacentral:snoRNA from 1 species